AUGGUUAAAUGGUGGUGGAAACUUGAAACUCAAAAAGGGCUUUGGCAGGAUAUUGUUCGUGCCAGAUACCUCCGCAACAAAACUGUUGCGGAUGUCACUCCCAGGUUCUCUGAUUCACCAUGCUGGAAAGCAUUACUAAAAGUAAAAGAGGUGUAUAUGAUAGGCAGAAAGAUUGAGACUAAAUCUUGGAACAUCACUAGGAUGUGGAAAGACUCGAUUAACAGGUUACCUCCUCUUCAGGAGCAAUACCCUCAAAUGUUUGACAUAUGUAACUCCUGA
rnacentral:rRNA from 1 species